ACCCUAUGUUUCCACAAUUUGUUGUGCUUGUCAUUAAAGUCAUUACAAUUUGAAUGUCUUCAGCCAAAAAGAGAUGUCGGGCCAUUACCUCGACACCAUCAGAGGUGAAGUACCUUGGCCAGCUACAUCUAAACUUUGGCAAAUACAACGGCCAAAGUUUUAAAUGGCUGGUGGAGAAUGAUGUUGGCAACAUUAAGUAUCUCAUUGAUCUCCACAUCAAAGAAAGCCGCCAUCCUGACAAAAAGGCAAGCCAAGGCAACUGGGUGAAGGAUCUCCUGCUGCGGUAUGUGCAGCUGCUUCCACAGGUCUCCUGCCACCUGGAUAUCAAUGUUGACAGGGCCAUUUAUGGGCAGGGCCACUUCAGGUCCUUCACCUUCUUGGAGAUGUGGCAGUGGUACAGCCUGCACAAGAUCCUUCAGGCUGACCCGCAAGCAAGUACGGACCACAAAAGAAAAAUGGCGCAGGAGGCAUACUGCUCUGUGCAGCAGUGGCUGGUGAUGAAGGAGGAGGACAUCACCACCAAGUCACUGAAGUGCUCCAGGCGUUACAUUCUCGACAAAGAGGACAGGGACCCUCCCUCAGCAGCUGCCAGCUCCAGCUCAUCAGUGAUGGUGGUUGGGCGGAUGACUCUCUACUGGUGGAAGCUCUUGCCUCCUUUGAAAGACAAGGCUAUAAGAAGAUUGCCAAGACCCUGAAACUGAGCUGCGUGAGUGCUGCUGGCACUGGGGAGCUACAGUUCAUUGAGGGAACCAUGAAUGCCAACAUGUACUGUGACAUUCUGAAGCAGAUCAUGAUCCCCUCCCUUCGGAGACUGGGCCGCAGGUCAGUAUUCCAACAUGAUAAUGACCCCAAACACACCUCCAAGACGGCCACUGCCUUGCUAAAGAAUGUCUCCAGACCUACACCCUAUUGAGCAUCUGUGGGGCAUCCUCAAACGGAAGGUGGAGGAGCGCAAGGUCUCUAACAUCCACCAGCUCCGUGAUGUCAUCUUGGAGGAGUGGAAGAGGACUCCAGUGGCAACCUGUGAAGCUCUGGUGAACUCCAUGCCCAAGAGGGUUAAGGCAGUGCUGGAAAAUAAUGGUAGCCACACAAAAUAUUGACACCCAAUUUGGACAUUUUUACUUAGGGGUGUACUCAAAUUUGUGGCCAGCGGUUUAGACAUUAAUGGCUGUGUGUUGAGUUAUUUUGAGGGGACAGCAAAUUUACACUGUUAUACAAGCUGUACACUCACUACUUUACAUUGUAACAAAGUGUCAU